rnacentral:snRNA from 1 species
UGAUGUGAGGGUAAUCUGGUUGUGACAUCUGUCACCCUAUUGAUGGCUAGAGUUGAUCUGGCUGGCUAGGCAGGGGUCUCCUUCCUUUCUCACUGCUCCAUGUGCCCCCCUCCCGAAGCUGUGCGGUUGCCUGAAGAGCAUGACCUUCCCUGAAUAGAGAAGGACUGGUCUUUGGUCAAGGAUAUACACAUAGCUGUGCUCCCCUACUAGUCCAAACAAGUUCAAGAAUCAAAUUAUCUAAAUAUUAUUACUUUAUCAAGUAUAAUUUUUU